rnacentral:rRNA from 1 species
CGCGGCCUAUCAGCUUGUUGGUGAGGUAACGGCUCACCAAGGCAUUGACGGGUAGCUAGUCUGAGAGGACGAAUAGCCACACUGGGACUGAGACACGGCCCAGACUCCUACGGGAGGCAGCAGUGGGGAAUCUUGCACAAUGGGCGAAAGCCUGAUGCAGCGACGCCGCGUGGGGGAUGAAGGCCCUAGGGUCGUAAACCCCUUUCAGUGGGGACGAAAAUGACGGUACCCACAGAAGAAGGUCCGGCCAACUACGUGCCAGCAGCCGCGGUAAGACGUAGGGACCGAGCGUUGUCCGGAUUUAUUGGGCGUAAAGAGCUCGUAGGCGGUUGCGUAAGUCGGAUGUGAAAACUCGGGGCUCAACCCCGAGACGCCAUCCGAUACUGCGCUGACUUGAAUCCAGUAGGGGAGUGUGGAAUUUGUUGUGUAGCGGUGAAAUGCGCAGAUAUAACAAGGAACACCUAUGGCGAAGGCAGCACUCUGGGCUGGUAUUGACGCUGAGGAGCGAAAGCAUGGGUAGCAAACAGGAUUAGAUACCCUGGUAGUCCAUGCCGUAAACGGUGGGCACUAGGUGUGGGGACUUUCAACGGUUUCCGUGCCGAAGCUAACGCAUUAAGUGCCCCGCCUGGGGAGUACGG